AAUUUGCAGGACUUCACUCCCUACUCAACUACUAUCUACCCAUCUCUCUUCACUCCAUACUUCACUCCUUUAAACUCAUCACCUCACCAUCUAUCUUACCCAUAACCAUAUCUCCACAUCCACCU
rnacentral:misc_RNA from 1 species